rnacentral:lncRNA from 1 species
UGGGGUGGGACGACCGGUGGUGCGACGGUGGGGUGGGGUAGGACGGCAGGUGGAGAGACGGUGGGCUGGGGUGGGACGUCAGGUGGCGCGACGGUCGGGUGGGGCGGCAGGUGGCGGUGCGAAGCUGCUGUGUUUUCUUCUUGUUAGAGGGAAUUGAUACUUAGGAGUGAAAAUUUGAGAGGGAAUACUUAGGCGUGAAAAUUUGAGCGGGACUUAGCUGUUGUGUGUUUCUUAUUUUUGCUGCGUAAAGAUUAUAGGGUGAAUCUUUGUUUACUCUAUUUUUUUUUUCAUUUGUUUCAUUUUUAUUAUUAAUUAUUAAUCAAUUCUUGAUAUUUAGGUUUUUAAUAAUAUUUUUAGAUUUUAU